rnacentral:rRNA from 1 species
UGCGUAGGUGGCGCGGUAAGUCGGGUGUGAAAUUUCGGAGCUUAACUCCGAAACUGCAUUCGAUACUGCCGUGCUUGAGGACUGGAGAGGAGACUGGAAUUUACGGUGUAGCAGUGAAAUGCGUAGAGAUCGUAAGGAAGACCAGUGGCGAAGGCGGGUCUCUGGACAGUUCCUGACACUGAGGCACGAAGGCCAGGGAGGCAAACG